CAGAUUUCUUCAACUCUUCUUUCUACUCUGCUUCAUACCUAUAUAUAUAAGGAAGAAGAGUGGUAUUAAUAUUAAGUAAUGUCUUCCAUUAACCCCGAAUCACAAUCAAUGGCUCAAGAUCAUAAAAAGAAUGGUCAUGGCAGCUAUAAACAAGAGAAUUAUGUGAGGGUCAUUGAAGUCGUGCUGAGGUUCAUUUUGUUCUUAACAACUUUAGCUCCCGUUAUACUCCUUGCCACUAAUAAGCAAACGGUGUUUUUUCGAAUACCGUUCCCUCCUUAUGGAAUGUCAGUUUCUGCUAAAUUACUACUAUGCCUGCCUUGGUGUAAGCUCUUUACAAGCAAAUUUGUUUCAUCUUCGUCGGAAUGUUACUUGUUCUUUCAAACGGUUUCUUUCGACAUGAUUUUGCUAGUUAAAAUAUCAUGUAGAUGCAGGGGCGGAUAUAGGAAGAGGCACGGGGGACACUUGUCCCCCUAAAUUUUUCUUCUUUUUUUUUACCAUUCUAAAUUUUGCAAAAUUUAAAAAUAUAUAGGUGUUUUCUAAAAAUUUGCUUAGUGCCCCAUAAAGUUCGAAUCCUAGAUCGGUCCCGGUGUAGAUGGGAUAUUCAUGUAUAUAUCACCGAUAUGAGCAGUUUUGCUAGCUAGAGAGUAACAAAAGCAUUACUCAAUGCUGUGGCAUAGGUAUGAAAUCUCAGCGCUUUCGGUGGCUCUUAUCCCUUUUAUCUUUCAUGAAGGGAGCAAAAAGAUCAGCAAAACUAACGUUUACUAUUUUUGUGAUGGAUUCGCUACUAGUUGGGAUCGUAGCAGCAGCAGCAGGAACAGGAGGAGAAGCUGCUUACAUAGGACUUAGAGGAAACAAAGCUGCAAAAUGGCCCAAGAUCUGCACUGUCUAUGAUACCUUUUGUCUCCAUGUCGGAUUCUCUUGCCUCAUUUCAAGCUUUACAGCCAUGACACUAAUAUCGCUUAUUGUUCUCUAUGUUUUUACCCUUUUACCUUGAUCAGAACUACUGAUAUACUUCUAAACUGCCGUGUAUCUUUACAUCAUGUUGCUUUUCCUUUAUGUUUUAACAUUUUAGCCUUCAGUUAUGUUCUAAUGAUAUUUUGAUUUGA